rnacentral:rRNA from 1 species
UACGAAGGACCCGAGCGUUAUCCGGAUUUAUUGGGUUUAAAGGGUGCGUAGGCGGACUUAUAAGUCAGUGGUGAAAUCUCCCAGCUUAACUGGGAAACUGCCAUUGAAACUGUUAGUCUUGAGUACAUUUGAGGCGGGCGGAAUGUGUCAUGUAGAGGUGAAAUUCUUAGAUAUGACACAGAACACCAAUUGCGAAGGCAGCUCGCUAAACUGUAACUGACGCUGAGGCACGAAAGCGUGGGGAUCAAACAGG